rnacentral:pre_miRNA from 1 species
UUGCUUUAACAAUUCUUGUCUCCCCCAACAUAUGCACUUAAUAACAUAUUAAUAUAUGUUAUUAAGUGCAUAUGUUGGGGGAGACAAGUAUU